rnacentral:lncRNA from 1 species
GUAAAGCUUGGUAUAUAACAGGACAGCUAUCCUGUACACGUUCGAAAAGCCGACGUUUGGUUUCACCUCACGAGAUUGGCCUAGGCUGCGAUAUGGCGCGGGUGGACAAUCGCGUGAGACGAAACCGAACGUCAGCUUUUCGAACGU